rnacentral:misc_RNA from 1 species
GAUGAAGAACGCAGCGAAAUGCGAUAAGUAAUGUGAAUUGCAGAAUCCAGUGAAUCAUCGAAUCUUUGAACGCACAUUGCGCCCGCCAGCAUUCUGGCGGGCAUGCCUGUUCGAGCGUCAUUUCAACCCUCGACCUCCCUUUGGGGAAGUCGGCGUUGGGGACCGGCAGCACACCGCCGGCCCUGAAAUGGAGUGGCGGCCCGUCCGCGGCGACCUCUGCGUAGUAAACCAACUCGCACCGGAACCCCGACGUGGCCACGCCGUAAAACACCCAACUUCUGAACGUUGACCUCGAAUCAGGUAGGACUACCCGCUGAACUUAAGCAUUCAAUAAGCGGAGGA